rnacentral:lncRNA from 10 species
CUUCUCUCUCUUUUCUCUUUUCUUUCUCUCUCUUUCUCAUUUUAUUUUUUUCCUGCUACAAGCUCUUGCAUGUGGAAGACAGAGUGAAAUGCCCUUGGAAUAACUGUAGUUUGUAGGAGAAGGGUCGUUGUCUACUGGAGGUUCAGAAUUUCUCAUAAAACACUUUAAAAUGAUGUGUGUUGGAUGCGUUUAAAAGUAGCACAGUUAGUGCAUUUAUACUAAGCAUAUCAAUGUACUGAGUAAAAGCAAAUUAGAAAAUUUAAUUUGCUAAAAAGAACAUCUGGAUAUCUAAGUAAAAGAGGUAAGGCUGUUAUUUGACUCUGACCUGCAUUCUUACUUCCAUCGUCCUGCCCCAGUCAAUAAACUCUUUUGGCCGGGUGCGGUAGCUCACACCUGAAAUCCCAACACUUUGGGAGGCUGAGGCAGGUGGAUCACCCGAGGUCAGAAGUUCAAGACCAGCCUGACCGACAUGGUGAAACUCCGUCUCUACUAAAAAUACUCAAAAAUUAGCCAGGCAUGGUGGCAGGCACCGGUACUCCCAGCUACUUGGGGGGCUGAGGCAGGAGAAUCGCUUGAACCUGGGAGGCAGAGGUUGCAUUGAGCCGAGAUCGUACCGUUGCACUCCAGCCUGGGCGACAAGAGCAAAAAUCCACCUCAAAAAAAUUUAAAUUUAAAAAUAAAUAAAAACCCUAUUGAUUUCUAGCAUCUGCAGGACUUUCCACUGAGAAUGAAUGAUGGAUGCCCUAAACUGUAUAAUACCCAGAGGUGUCUGCCCAGGUAGGAUUUUUGAGGUGAGCCAGAGAGGGCUGCCUUUGAAACCCUUCACCCACAGCCCCGCCUUUGCACCUCUGGACCCAGAGGCAUGUGAGGCUUGGUCUUUGAGGAAUAGCUUGUAGUUUCGAGGCCCUAAGGGCCCCUAUACUUCAUCACCUUUAGCUCCCUUCCUGUUCCUGGAAGCCCGGGGUGUGCUGUGGUGACACAGCCAGCGGGCGCCCCGUCCUCUCCACAGUCCUGGGCCCCGAGGGCUGAGUGCUCCUCCUGCUCCUAAGAAGACUUCAAUGCAGCUUUCACCCUUCCCAGAUGGUGUGGAUCUUGAACUUUUCUAGAGCUUCGGGUAGGGGAAUUUCAUUAGUCUCUACAUAUGGGAACCUGAUGGGCAGAAACUGCCACCAUGGUUCAUUUAACAGUGACAUCUGAAAUAAGUUCUCUGCGUCCUUUAACAUUGACAUGUGGAAUAAGUUCUCUGCAUCUCUUUUGUUUCAGGAUUGUUAUAUGAUCCAUAGCGUGUCUCUCAGGGCUCUCUCUCAUGCAUGCUGGAGCCUCAGGUGUGGGGAAGCAUACACGUGACAGGUUAUCCUCUCUGUCACCCUGCCCAUAUUAGCUGUGGCUGCUCUCUGGGUCUGGUUAAGAUCUUUGGUUGGUCUAGGUCAGAGAUGCUCACCCAGGCCCCCAGAGCUCUAGACUGUCCCUGGAGAUAGGUGGGCAGAGUUUGGGGUUACCCCGCUUCACAUGUUCACCUAAAAUGUUGUUUAAAGGAAUGAUUAUGCUGCUUGAAGAACAAAGACAAAACACUGGGAACCACUGCCGCAGAGGGUCUCUGGGGUCCUCCACAUUUCCAGCAGCCAAAGCCUCCUUCACUCUCAGUCAGUGAAGCCCCAGGGUAAUAAUUAUUUUCAUUUGUUUCACUUGUUGGACACCCAGCAAAUGCAUCCAGCAAGACUGCAUUUGAACCAAGUUUUCUGAGGAUAAAAAUCAUUAAAAAACAUUUAAAGCUCACAUUUAACACAGCUCUCAGCCCCCUUGGGAACCAUUUCUGUAUGUAGUUAUGCAUCUCUGUUCUUUUCAUACAGUUCCCUCCCUCCUGGAAGCCAAGUAGUAAAACAGUCCAUAAUUAGUGGGUGGAGGAGCUUCUAGUUGGAGACAAGGCGUGUGUAUUAGUCCGUUUUCUGCUGCUUAUAGCAGAAUGCCUGAAAGUGGGUUGUUUAUAAGGAAUUUAUUUCUUACAGCUCUGGAGGCCGAGAAAUCCAAGGUGCUGCAUCUGGUGAGAGGCUUCUUGGUGGUGGGGACUAAACAGUGUCCUGCGGUGGUGUAGGGUGUCACAUGGAGAGGGACUGAGUGUGCUAAUGUGCCAGCUCAGGUCUUAGUUCGUCUUUAUACCACACUGAUCCCUUAACCCAUUAGUUCAUGAAUGGAUUAAUCUACUCCUGAGGGCAGAGCUUUCAUGAUCCCACUACCUCUGAAAGGACACUGCCACACUAGUGAUGAAGUUUUGAUGUGAGUUCGGGAGGGGACAUUGAAACCACAGCACCAUCCAGUCAAUGCUGUUCUUAAUUCAUCUCUGGGCUAAGGAAGCCUCCCCGCUGGGAACCUGUCUCUAAUGUCUCCAGGCAGAGCUAGUGAUAUGGUUUGGCUCUGCGUUCAUGUUCAGUUGUAAUCCCCCGUGUUGGAGGUGGGUCCUGGUGGGAGGUGGUUGGAUCACUGGAGUGGUUAGCAUCAUCCUCCUUCGUCACCAUAGUGAGUGGGUUCUCAUGAGACCUUUCAUCCUGCUCUGGACAUGUGAGAUGUGCCUGCUUCCUCUUUGCCUUCUGCCAUGACUGUGUUUCCUGAGGCCUCCUUAGAGGCAGAAGCCACUGUGCUUUCUGUCCAGCCUGCAGAACAUGAGCCAAUUAAACCUCUUUUCUUAUAAAUUACCCAGUCUUGGAUAUUUCUUUUUCUUUCUUCCUUUUUUUUUUUUUUUGUUUUGAGACAGAGUCUCACUCUGUUGCUUAGUCUGGAGUGCAGUGGCACAAUCUCAACUCACUGCAACCUCUGCCUCCAAGGUUCAAGCGAUUCUUCUGCCUCAGCCCCCUGAGUGGCUGGGAUUACAGAGGUGUGCCACCACACCCAGCUAAUUUUUGUAUUUUAAGUAGAGACAGCGUUUCACCAUGCUGGCUAGGCUGGUCUCGAACUCCUGACCUCGAGUGAUCCCCCCGCCUCAGCCUCCCAAAGUGCUGAGAUUACAGGCAUGAGCCACUGCACCCAGCCUCAGAUAUUUCUUUAUAGCAGUGAGAGAACUAAUACAGAUAGUGCUUUUCCCUCAGUGCUCCCACAGUGUCUCUGCCUUAUAUAAGGUGCACGAUGCCAAAGGCUGUUUCCAAGUCCGUUUCCCUUGAAAGAGUGAGAGCUCCACGAGGGAGGGAACAUACUAUUCAUUCUUUACUCUGGCACUUGGAAUGUGGCAAUCAGUGAUGGUGGAAUGACAGUUCAACAGAAAUGUCCCCAGCCCAAUCCCCACAACUUGUGAAUAUGAUCCCUAUGUGGCAAAAGCGCGUUGCAGAUGUGAUUCAGGUUAAGAAUCUUGAGAUAAGAAGGUGAUCUUGAGGUACUCCUGCAGGUCCAAUCUAAUCAAACGAAUCCUUCAAAGAGGAGAAGCUUCCCCAGCUGAGGUCGUGGUCAGGGGACAACACGACAGCUGAAGAAGGGCCAGGAAGAUCUGCCGUUUUGCUGACUUUGAAGGUGAAGAAAGGAGCCAUGAGCCAAGGCACGCAGUGACCUCUGGGAGCUGGAAAGGCAAGUAAAUGAGCUCCCCCCAGAGCCCCCGCUUUCAGAAGGAACACAUCCCUGCCAGCCCCUCGAUUUCAGCCCAGUAAGACUGGUUUUGGGCUUCUAAUCUACAGAACAGUAAGAUCAUAAUUAUGUGUUGCCUUCGGCUACUAUGUUUGUCAUAAUUUGUUACAGUAGUGAGAGAAAACUAACACAGGUACAAAAAUAGAGAAAAUCCAAUAACUGGAUAAGAGGAAGAGAAUUAGGAAAGAUUCUUAGGCCAGGCACGGUGGCUCAUGUCUGUAGUCUGAGCACUUUGAGAGACCAAGACUGGAGGAUUGCUUCGACCCAGGAGUUUGAGACCACACUGGGCAACACAGUGAGACCCUGUCUCUACAAAAUAUUUUAAAAAUUAGCCAGGUUUGGUGGUAUGUGCCUACAGUUCCAGCUACUCAGGAGGCUGAGGUGGGAGGAUCGCUUGAGCCUGGGAGGUUGAGGCUGAUUGCACCACUGUACUCCAGCCUGAAUGACAGAGGGAGACCCUGUCUCAGAAUAAUAAUAAUAAUAAUAAUAAGAUUCUUUUCUCAUUUUAUGUAGAUCCACCAGGAGGAGCCCUUAUCACACUAUUGAAAUCUGACUCCUCAGAGGCAUCUAGGUUUUUAAGUAUAGGGAGUUUUCUACAAGCAUGCAAAACUUACUUUACAAAAAGGCUCAAGGAAAAAUUGUGAAAUGUUGUAUUUCUGGUCAAUUUUCUGCCCCCUUUCAGUUUGGAAUGCACAGGCCACCCGGAGCCCGAUGCAACCCUCGCACUGCCGGAACUGUGUUCUGCUCACCGGGGCUUCUCACCUCUCCUGGGGUUCCCAAGGCAGCUUUCUGGUUCUAAGCUACCAGCCUGCUUCUGUCCAAUGAAACUGACCCGGUCCUUCAUUGAACUCUGGCUGGUGACCCAGUAAACUACCUUCUAUCUGUGCCCCUGUCUCUCUCCCUCCCUCCUUCCUGAAAGUCAUUGAAAGAAUGAUUGCAACUCAGUAGCUCACUCACUCAUUCAUUUAUUUCUACGGUCAUCAUGAUUAUUCAUUACGCACCUAUGAUGUUUCAGUUACUUUACUAGAAAAACAAAGUCGGAUAAAACCUGGCUAUGCCUGCCCAGCAACCCCAUAUAAUAGAGGGGCUUUGGGAGGUGGGAGGACUUAAGUAUGGUGGGGGCACAAAGCGACCUACUCAGCCUUCAGCCAUUCUUAGGGGAAGGGGCUGAGGGUAGAAGGGAGAAACUUGUCCAGAGGAGGUGACAUUUGAGCUAGACCUUGAAGCAUAGACAAGAGUAGCUUUUUCUAAAUGGGAGUUGAGCAGUAAAGACAGGGAGGAAUGGUGGGUGUAUUGAGGGAAGAUAAUGGCAGUGGCAGCUGUAGGCAGGUCUGGCAAAGCACAGUCGGAUUCCUGUAAAAAGAGGCUUACACACUAGCCAGGAAGCAUUCAGACCUGAACUUACAGUAAGUAAGGAGGAGUCAGACAGACUUGCAUUUAUGUCUUAACGUGGCUGUAUUUGCUGUAUUUGUUCUUCUAAAACAUCUCUUUGACAGCCAUGUGGAGGUUGGGGAAAUAUUGUGAGCAGGAAGACCAGCUAGGAGCCUUCUACUUAAAAGUGACCUAAAAGGGGGCAUGAGCAGAUCUAAUGGAGGCGGCAGGAUGAAUUUUAAAAGGCAGAAUUUAUAAGACUUUGUGGCUGGGCUCAGUGGCUCAUGCCUGUAAUCCCAGCACUUUGGGAGGCCAAGAUGGGUGAAUCACUUGAGGUCAGGAGUUCCAGACCAGCCUGACUCACAUGGGGAAACCCCAUCUCUACUAAAAAUACAAAAAUUAGCUAAGCGUAGUGGCGGGUUCCUGUAGUCCCAGCUACUUGGGAGGCUGAGGCACGAGAAUCGCUUGAACCCUGGAGGUGGAGGUUGCAGUGAGCCAAGAUCAUGCCACUGCACUCCAGCCUGGGCAACAGAGUGAGACUCUGUCUCAAAAACAAAAACAAAAACAAAAAAAGACUUUGUAGGAAUGAAUGUGGAGAGUGAGGAAAAGAGGAAUAGAAGGAGGUGUCAAAGCAUAGAGAUUCAUUCCUCUACCUUGGGUGAUGGUUUCUAAAGAGAGAUCUUUGGCUGAGAGGGAGGUAAAGAGGGAGAAACAGAAGAAGGGAUGGAUUGCAAAUUGGAGAUCAGUCUAGCAUGCAGGUAAAGAAGAUGGGGAAUCAUCAAAAUGCUAUAAAUAAAUAAGAACAAACGAAUUUGUCAGAAGGUGAGAAAGAAGACUGUUCAAGGAAAUGGUGGCCUGUAGAUACUGAAUGCCACAGAACAGUUAUGUAAGCAGAAGACUGAAAGAUACCAUUACAGGUGACAAUUAGAAGUCACCUACUAGGCACCUUAGGAAUACGUUGUUUUAGCAACUCCAGAACUUGUUAUAGGAGGAUAAGAAAAUGCAGUGGUGCUGUGAUCCCACUUUUCCAAAGAGUUGGAACAUCAAAGGUAAGAUUGUAAAUAUAAAUAGAGGGGCAGGCAGAGGUGUGAAAAGUUUUUGGUUUUAUUAUUGUCAUUAUUAUUUAAGAGACAUGGUUGUGCUCUGUUGCCCAGGUUGGAGAGCAGUGGUGCAAUCACAGCUCACUGCUGCCUCGAACUCCUGGACUCAGGCGAUCUUCCCACCUCAGCCUCCCCAGUAGCUGGGACUACAGGCGCACAAAACCACACCCAGCUAAUUUAUUUAUUUUUAUUUAUUUUUGUAGAGGUGGGAUCUUGCUAUGUUUUCCAGGCUAGUCUUGAACUCCUGGGCUCAAGCAAUCUUCCUGCCUCAGCCUCCCAAAAUUCUGAGAUUACAGGCAUAAGCCAUCAUGCCUAGCCAGUUUUAUUAUUAUUAUUUAUUAUUUAUUUAUGUUUUUUGAGACAGAGUUUCACUCUUGUUGCCUAGCCUGGAAUGCAAUGGCGGGAUCUCGACUCACUGCAACCUCUGCCUCCUGGGUUCAAGCAAUUCUCUUGCCUCAGCCUCCCCAGUAGGUGGGAUUACAGGCAUGUGUCACCACGCCCGGCUAAUUUUGUAUUUUCAGUAGAGAUAGGGUUUCUUUAUGUUGGACAGGCUGGUCUCGAACGCCUGACCUUAGGAGAUCCACCUGCCUCAGCCUCCCAAAGUGCUGGGAUUACAGGCAUGAGCCACUGCACCCAGCCCAGUUUUAUUAUUUUUAGAAUGGUGAGUGUUGAAUGCUUUGUGGACUGAGGAGAAGCAAACAAUAAACAGGGUGAGAUUGAAUACAGGUAAACAUAUUUACAAUUUAAACACCCAAGAGAGUGAUUUUGGUCUGAGUUCCAGGCACUGCUGGUGAGCUCCUGAGGGUUACUUUCCAGGUGGCAGCACCCCUGAAAUCCCCCAGGUGGGCCACCCCCUCCUUCCCCCUGCCUGAACAGACAACUGGGUUCUGUCAUGCCUUAGAGGAGGGGGUCGUGUGAGGCUUUGAUUUCUGGGAAAGCCUACAAGGAGAAGUCAGACAGACCUGUAUACCAACCUCAGUCCUGCAAAUAGUCACUGUAGGCAAGAUGACCUCUGAGCCUCAGGUUUCCCCUGGAGAAAAUGAGGGUAAUACAAUCUAUUAUCUAUUUUGCCAUGAGGCUGGAUGACAUACGUAUGUAAAGGCCUCCCUGCAAUGCUGCCUCUGAAGUAAAGGCCUCCCUGCAAUGCUGCCUCUGAUGUGGCAAGCAAAUUCAAGAGUCCUUAUUUUCACACUCAUGCCCAAGAGGAGAUUCCUGACCAGGAGAGUUCUUUCUUUCCAGAGGUUAUGGGCAGCCCUGCAUGUGUUUGCUUGGUUUUUUGUUGUUGUUGUUGUUGUUGCUGUUGUUUGUUUGUUUGAGACAGAGUUUUGCUGUUGUCGCCCAGGCUGGAGUGCAGUGGUGUGAUCUCAGCUUACUGCAACCUCUGCCUCCCAGGUUCAAGUGAUUCUCUUGCCUCAGCCUCUCGAGUAGCUGGGAUUACAGGCACCAGCUACCACGCCCGGCUAUUUUUUGUAGUUUUAGUAAAGACGGGGUUUCACCAUGUGGGUCAGGCUGGUUUCGAACUCCUGACCUCAGGUGAUCUGCCCGCCUUGGCCUCCCAAAGUGCUGGGAUUACAGGCGUGAGCCACUGCUCCUGGCACUUGUUUUUGUGUUUCUGUGUGUCUGUGGCUGUCCGCUGUGCUCAUCAAUAUCUGGGCUCCUCCCAGCUGGGACAGGGAGCCUCUGUUUACUGCCCUUUGCCUGAUGUUUACUACAAUGUUGGACAGUUUGAGCUCUCAAACACCCAGCAGAUGAACUCCCUCAUUCAACAGAUUUAGGAGGGAGCUGGGGAGACCAGACACAAUAAAAACAGCAUAUUUCCCCCUAGAAGAUUCCUGGCCAGCCUUCUUUCUUAGAAAGCCCUCCCUGGUGAGUCAGUGCAUUGGCCCGCCCUGACCUCCCAGAAGAUUGGACAGAAGAUUAUCUUGGCACAGGCACGGCAGACAAUUUCUCUGCCUGCACAGAUUUCCUGGUACCCAGCAAUAUUUGGCUAACCUGAACUUUUAUUUUUCUAACUGAAACACCAUACUGUUGAUUUUAGGAACAUUGCUUUUACCUUCUCUAAGAGGACAAGGUCUCUAAAUCUUUCCCUAUUGAAGAAUUUGAUUUUGGUUCAUCCAGGUCAUUGUGGCUAGGGCUAAGGGUGUAGCGAGGUCUGAGCUUCCAAAAUGCUGGUUAUGCAGGGAGCAGAUGGGGAGGGAGAUGAGUUAGCAGGGCUCUCUCCUGCUCUGAGAGUCAUCUCUGAGCCCCCCAACCCCCAUAGCACCUGGCCAGUGGCUUGGACAGAGAAGGUGCUCAGAAAAUGUUGGAUAAGCAAGUGAAUACGUGGGGAUAUGAAUGGAUAGAUUUGACUUGUUUACUCAAGAGGCAAAGAAGAACAUGAAGGAGCAAUGGAAAUGGGCUUGGAAGGAGUGAUACUGGUAGGUCACCAUGUUGAGGACAGGACAGGGUGAAUACUGGCUGGCAUGUGUGUUUCGGUGUUGUUGUAUUAGUCCAUUCUUGCACUGUUAUAAAGAAAUACCUGAGACUGGGUAAUUUAUAAAUAAAAGAGGUUGAAUUGGCUUACUCUAUUGUAGGCUAUACAGGAAGCAUGGCUGGGGAGGCCUCAGGAAACUUACAAUCAUGGUGGAAGGUGAAGGGGAAGCAGGCACGUCUUACAUGGCCAGAGCAGGGGGAAGAGAGAGAAGGGGGAGGUGCUACACCCUUUUAAACAACCGGAUCUCAUGAGAACUCACUCACUAUCAUGAGAACAGGAAAGGGGAAAUCUGCCCCCCUGAUCCAAUCAUCUCCCACCAGGGCCCUUCUCCAACUUUGGAGAUUACGAUUCGACAUGAGAUUUAGGUGGGGACACAAAUCCAAACCAUAACAAGUGUAUACCUAAAGCUCAGUAGUCUUGAAGCUGGCACAUCUAGCCUUGUGAAAUUCCACAUGCCUGUAUCACUCUCACUCCGUGCCCAUUGAUAGGAUAUAGGAAAAGUGGAUUUUAAAAUAUUGAGAAAACAAUUCCUAGAGAGAGUUCUUGCAGGGCCUAUCUCUGCUUGAAGGGGCCAAGUGAGGAAUGAGCCCAACACAAUCACCGAUCAGGCUUGCUCAGGUGGGGCGUGUAAACCCAGCUUUCCAGACUUGGUGUUGAGAACCAAGGCGUCCUGCUGAUAUUUUCUGUGAAUCUAUUGAAUUGGCCAUGGCGGAGGUUAAAUAGAGCAAGUAUAGUGUUAAAGGAAAAGGCUGUUGUGAUUCAGUUCUGGGUUGUGGCUUGUUUUUUUGAGCCACUUCUGGGCUCAGCUUCAUAGGUUGGGCUGCAUACUUGGUGGCUG